rnacentral:rRNA from 1 species
GAUGAACGCUGGCGGCGUGCCUAAUACAUGCAAGUCGAGCGAACGGACGAGAAGCUUGCUUCUCUGAUGUUAGCGGCGGACGGGUGAGUAACACGUGGAUAACCUACCUAUAAGACUGGGAUAACUUCGGGAAACCGGAGCUAAUACCGGAUGAUAUUUUGAACCGCAUGGUUCAAUAGUGAAAGACGGUUUUGCUGUCACUUAUAGAUGGAUCCGCGCUGCAUUAGCUAGUUGGUAAGGUAACGGCUUACCAAGGCGACGAUGCAUAGCCGGCCUGAGAGGGUGAUCGGCCACACUGGAACUGAGACACGGUCCAGACUCCUACGGGAGGCAGCAGUAGGGAAUCUUCCGCAAUGGGCGAAAGCCUGACGGAGCAACGCCGCGUGAGUGAUGAAGGUCUUCGGAUCGUAAAACUCUGUUAUUAGGGAAGAACAUAUGUGUAAGUAACUGUGCACGUCUUGACGGUACCCAAUCAGAAAGCCACGGCUAACUACGUG